rnacentral:rRNA from 1 species
UAUCUCUGUAGAGUCUGCAUAUCAAUAAGCGGAGGAAAAGAAACUAACAUAGGAUUCCCUCAGUAACGGCGAGUGAAGCGGGAAGAGCUCAAAUUUGAAAUCUUCAAGGGUUCUACCUUGACGAAUUGUAGUUUAAAGAAGUGUUUUCUGCUGGAUGUUUUGGUAAAAGUUCUUUGGAAUAGGACAUCAUAGAGGGUGAGAAUCCCGUAUUUGACCAGUUACUUUCCAGCUGUGUGAUACACUUUCAGAGAGUCGGAUUGUUUGGGAAUGCAGUCCAAGAUGGGUGGUAAAUUUCAUCUAAAGCUAAAUAUUGGCGAGAGACCGAUAGCGAACAAGUACCGUGAGGGAAAGAUGAAAAGAACUUUGAAAAGAGAGUUAAAUAGUACGUGAAAUUGUCAAAAGGGAAGCGUUUGACACCAGUGUUGUUUUUCCGAAAAUCAAUUACGAAUGGCUUGAUUCUGUGUUGUAUUGACCUUAUCAGCUUUCUUCACUUUUUUCGAGUCUUUCUUAAUGCACUUUUCGGUUAACAAGUCAACAUCAAUUUCUUUUGUUGUAAAAGAGUAUUCGGAAGGUGGCUUUCUUUUCGGAGAAAGUGUUUAUAGCCCUAUACUUCUACAAUCGGAGAGAUUGAGGUCUGCAGCGUAGAUCCUUCGGGGUUAGAUACACUUGUGCUAAGUUAUAGCCUUUCAUAGACAACUUGUUGACUAUGAUUUAGUCAUGUCGCUUACUCGCUUAUGCUAUUUUACCUACGCUUAGGAUGUUGAAGAUGUAGCACAUCAU